GAGGGUACAGCUCAGUGGUAGAGCAUGUGCUUAGCAUGCACAAGGUCCUGGGUUCAAUCCCCAGUACCUCCA
rfam:Camelus ferus unplaced genomic scaffold scaffold2764, whole genome shotgun sequence.